rnacentral:rRNA from 1 species
UAGGCAGCAGAGGACCUUCGGGCCUUGCGCGGUCAGACGGACCGAUGUUCGAUUAGCUUGUUGGUGGGUAAUGGCUCACCAAGGCCGCGAUCGAUAGCUGGUCUGAGAGGAUGAUCAGCCACACUGGGACUGAGACACGGCCCAGACCCCUACGGGAGGCAGCAGCGGGGAAUUUUGGACAAUGGGCGCAAGCCUGACCCAGCCAUGCCGCGUGUGUGAAGAAGGUCUUCGGAUUGUAAAGCACUUUAAGUUGGGAGGAAGGGCAUUAACCUAAUACGUUGGUGUUUUGACGUUACCGACAGAAUAAGCACCGGCUAACUCUGUGCCAGCAGCCGCGGUAAUACAGAGGGUGCAAGCGUUAAUCGGAAUUACUGGGCGUAAAGCGCGCGUAGGUGGUUUGUUAAGUUGGAUGUGAAAUCCCCGGGCUCAACCUGGGAACUGCAUCCAAAACUGGCAGGCUAGAGUAGGGCAGAGGGGGGUGGAAUUCCGCGUGUAGCAGUGAAAUGCGUAGAUAUGCGGAGGAACACCGAUGGCGAAGGCAGCCCCCUGGGCCAACACUGACGCUCAUGCACGAAAGCGUGGGGAGCAAACAGGAUUAGAUACCCUGGUAGUCCACGCCCCUAAACGAUGUCAACUAGUUGUUGGGGAUUCAUUUCCUUAGUAACGUAGCUAACGCGUGAAGUU